AGAGUUGAUCUGGCUCAGGAUGAACGCUAGCGGCAGGCCUAACACAUGCAAGUCGCGGGGCAGCACGGGUAGCAAUACCUGGUGGCGACCGGCGCACGGGUGCGUAACGCGUAUCGCAACCUGCCCCCAUCAGGGGAUAGCCCGCGAAAGGCGGAUUAAUGCCCCAUAGGCCCAGGGCGCCGCAUGGCGCUAUGGGUAAAGCUCCGGCGGAUGGGGAUGGGCAUGCGUGCCAUUAGCUAGUUGGGGCGGUAACGGCGCACCAAGGCGACGAUGGCUAGGGGGUCUGAGAGGAUGGUCCCCCACACUGGUACUGAGACACGGACCAGACUCCUACGGGAGGCAGCAGUGAGGAAUAUUGGUCAAUGGGCGGAAGCCUGAACCAGCCAUGCCCGCGUGCAGGAUGACGGCCCUACGGGUUGUAAACUGCUUUUAUAAGGGAAUAAAGUGAGGGACGUGUCCCUUUUUGUAUGUACCUUAUGAAUAAGGAUCGGCUAACUCCGUGCCAGCCGCCGC
rnacentral:rRNA from 1 species